UACGGAGGGGGCGAGCGUUAUUCGGAAUUAUUGGGCGUAAAGGGCGCGUAGGCGGCUUGACAAGUCAAAGGUGAAAUCCCUCGGCUCAACUGAGGAACUGCCUUUGAAACUGUCUGGCUUGAGGCCGGGAGGGGGUAGCGGAAUUCCCAGUGUAGCGGUGAAAUGCGUAGAUAUCGGGAGGAACACCAGUGGCGAAGGCGACUACCUGGCCUGUUCUUGACGCUGAGGCGCGAAAGCUAGGGGAGCAAAGCGGG
rnacentral:rRNA from 1 species